GGAGGGAUGGCUGAGUGGUUUAAAGCGGCGGUCUUGAAAACCGUUGAGUGUAACAGCUCCGUGGGUUCGAAUCCUACUCCCUCCGCCA
rnacentral:tRNA from 1 species